AAGCUUGUAGUUGAAUUUCGAAUGUGGCUGGGCGGUCCGCCUCACGGUGUGUACUGUCUGGCUGUGUUCUCUUUCUUGGUGAGCCGGCAUGCCCUUUACUGGGUGUGUUGGGGAACCAGGACGUUUACCUUGAGAAAAUUAGAGUGUUCAAAGCAGGCCUACGCCCGAAUACAUUAGCAUGGCAUAAUAAAACUAGGACGUGCGGUUCUAUUUUGUUGGUUUCUAGAGCCGCAGUAAUGAUUAAUAGGGAUAGUUGGG
rnacentral:rRNA from 1 species